UCCAGAGGCCUCCCUGUUAC
rnacentral:misc_RNA from 1 species